ensembl:snoRNA
UGGUCCAGAGAUGAUGACUCGUGGGUAUGAGUCAAGGAUGAUGAGUAAUAGAAGUCAGGAAGUUUAAGCUCCAG